GGUGGGAGAGUUUGUUAGGUAGCUCAUGGCCUCCAUCACAGCGUCAGUGUGAACCACGUGGUGGGAGAGUUUGUUAGGUAGCUCAUGGCCUCCAUCACAGCGUCAGUGUGAACCACGUGGUGGGAGAGUUUGUUAGGUAGCUCAUGGCCUCCAUCACAGCGUCAGUGUGAACCACGUGGUGGGAGAGUUUGUUAGGUAGCUCAUGGCCUCCAUCACAGCGUCAGUGUGAACCACGUGGUGGGAGAGUUUGUUAGGUAGCUCAUGGCCUCCAUCACAGCGUCAGUGUGAACCACGUGGUGGGAGAGUUUGUUAGGUAGCUCAUGGCCUCCAUCACAGCGUCAGUGUGAACCACGUGGUGGGAGAGUUUGUUAGGUAGCUCAUGGCCUCCAUCACAGCGUCAGUGUGAACCACGUGGUGGGAGAGUUUGUUAGGUAGCUCAUGGCCUCCAUCACAGCGUCAGUGUGAACCACGUGGUGGGAGAGUUUGUUAGGUAGCUCAUGGCCUCCAUCACAGCGUCAGUGUGAACCACGUGGUGGGAGAGUUUGUUAGGUAGCUCAUGGCCUCCAUCACAGCGUCAGUGUGAACCACGUGGUGGGAGAGUUUGUUAGGUAGCUCAUGGCCUCCAUCACAGCGUCAGUGUGAACCACGUGGUGGGAGAGUUUGUUAGGUAGCUCAUGGCCUCCAUCAUAGCGUCAGUGUGAACCACGUGGUGGGUGAGUUUGUUAGGUAGCUCAUGGCCUCCAUCACAGCGUCAAUGUGAACCACGUGGUGGGAGAGUUUGUUAGGUAGCUCAUGGCCUCCAUCACAGCGUCAGUGUGAACCACGUGGUGGGAGAGUUUGUUAGGUAGCUCAUGGCCUCCAUCACAGCGUCAGUGUGAACCACGUGGUGGGAGAGUUUGUUAGGUAGCUCAUGGCCUCCAUCACAGCGUCAGUGUGAACCACGUGGUGGGAGAGUUUGUUAGGUAGCUCAUGGCCUCCAUCACAGCGUCAGUGUGAACCACGUGGUGGGAGAGUUUGUUAGGUAGCUCAUGGCCUCCAUCACAGCGUCAGUGUGAACCACGUGGUGGGAGAGUUUGUUAGGUAGCUCAUGGCCUCCAUCACAGCGUCAGUGUGAACCACGUGGUGGGAGAGUUUGUUAGGUAGCUCAUGGCCUCCAUCACAGCGUCAGUGUGAACCACGUGGUGGGAGAGUUUGUUAGGUAGCUCAUGGCCUCCAUCACAGCGUCAGUGUGAACCACGUGGUGGGAGAGUUUGUUAGGUAGCUCAUGGCCUCCAUCACAGCGUCAGUGUGAACCACGUGGUGGGAGAGUUUGUUAGGUAGCUCAUGGCCUCCAUCACAGCGUCAGUGUGAACCACGUGGUGGGAGAGUUUGUUAGGUAGCUCAUGGCCUCCAUCACAGCGUCAGUGUGAACCACGUGGUGGGAGAGUUUGUUAGGUAGCUCAUGGCCUCCAUCACAGCGUCAGUGUGAACCACGUGGUGGGAGAGUUUGUUAGGUAGCUCAUGGCCUCCAUCACAGCGUCAGUGUGAACCACGUGGUGGGAGAGUUUGUUAGGUAGC